ACGGCUCAGUAACACGUGGAUGACCUACCCUUAGGACAGGGAUAAACCCGGGAAACUGGGUAUAAUACCCGAUAGACCUCGAAUGCUGGAAUGCAUCGAGAUCGAAAGCUCCGGCGCCUAAGGAUGGAUCUGCGGCCUAUCAGGUAGUAGUGGGUGUAGCGUACCUACUAGCCUACGACGGGUACGGGUUGUGAGAGCAAGAGCCCGGAGAUGGAUUCUGAGACACGAAUCCAGGCCCUACGGGGUGCAGCAGGCGCGAAAACUUUACAAUGCCGGCAACGGCGAUAAGGGGACCUCGAGUGCCAGGUUACAAAUCUGGCUGUCGAGAUGCCUAAAAAGCAUUUCAUAGCAAGGGCCGGGCAAGACCGGUGCCAGCCGCCGCGGUAACACCGGCGGCUCGAGUGGUAACCGUUAUUAUUGGGUCUAAAGGGUCUGUAGCCGGCCGGAUAAGUCUCUUGGGAAAUCUGGCAGCUUAACUGUCAGGCUUUCAGGAGAUACUGUCUGGCUCGAGGCCGGGAGAGGUGAGAGGUACUUCAGGGGUAGGGGUGAAAUCUUGUAAUCCUUGAAGGACCACCAGUGGCGAAGGCGUCUCACCAGAACGGACCUGACGGCAAGGGACGAAAGCUAGGGGCACGAACCGGAUUAGAUACCCGGGUAGUCCUAGCCGUAAACGAUACUCGCUAGGUGUCGGCCGCGGUGCGACCGUUGUCGGUGCCGUAGGGAAGCCGUGAAGCGAGCCACCUGGGAAGUACGGCCGCAAGGCUGAAACUUAAAGGAAUUGGCGGGGGAGCAC
rnacentral:rRNA from 1 species